rnacentral:tRNA from 1 species
GCUCGCCGAGGCGUUGCGGGACGCGACGGCGGUGCUGUCGCGGUUGGACGUGGCCGGUUCGGGGCCGGUGGCCGAUGC